rnacentral:rRNA from 1 species
AACGAACGCUGGCGGCAUGCCUAACACAUGCAAGUCGAACGACACCUUCGGGUCUAGUGGCGCACGGGUGCGUAACGCGUGGGAACCUUCCCUUAGGUUCGGAAUAACUCCCCGACGGGGGUGCUAAUACCGGAUAAUGUCUUCGGACCAAAGAUUUAUCGCCUUUGGAUGGGCCCGCGUUCGAUUAGCUAGUUGGUAUGGUAAAAGCCUACCAAGGCGACGAUCCAUAGCUGGUCUGAGAGGAUGAUCAGCCACACUGGGACUGAGACACGGCCCAGACUCCUACGGGAGGCAGCAGUGGGGAAUAUUGGACAAUGGGCGAAAGCCUGAUACAGCAAUGCCGCGUGAGUGAUGAAGGCCUUAGGGUUGUAAAGCUCUUUUACCCGGGAUGAUAAUGACAGUACCGGGAGAAUAAGCUCCGGCUAACUCCGUG